rnacentral:rRNA from 1 species
AUUGAACGCUGGCGGCGUGCCUAACACAUGCAAGUCGAGCGGUAACAGGUGUAGCAAUACAUGCUGACGAGCGGCGAACGGGUGAGUAAUGCUUUGGAAUCUUCCCAGUAGUGGGGAAUAACCAGUCGAAAGAUUGGCUAAUACCGCAUACGUCUGUAAAGGGAAAGCGGGGGACUCGCCUCUUCUUCGGAAGAGAGGCCUCGCGCUAUUGGAUGAGCCAAAGCGGAUUAGCUAGUUGGUGGGGUAAUGGCCUACCAAGGCGACAAUCCGUAGCUGGUCUGAGAGGACGACCAGCCACACCGGAACUGAGACACGGUCCGGACUCCUACGGGAGGCAGCAGUGGGGAAUAUUGGACAAUGGGGAAACCCUGAUCCAGCGACGCCGCGUGUGUGAAGAAGGCCUGCGGGUUGUAAAGCACUUUUAGUAGGGGACAAAAAGCUACGGAUUAAUACUCUGUGGUCUUGAUUUAACCUACAGAAAAGCACCGGCUAACUCUGUGCCAGCCGCC